ACCGGCGGCUCGAGUGGUGGCCACUAUUACUGGGCUUAAAGGGUCCGUAGCUUGAUAUGCAAGUCUCUUGAGAAAUCCGCCGGCUUAACUGGCGGGCGUUCAGGGGAAACUGCAUUUCUAGGGACCGGGAGAGGUGAGAGGUACUGCCGGGGUAGGAGUGAAAUCCUGUAAUCCCGGUGGGACCACCUAUGGCGAAGGCAUCUCACCAGAACGGGUCCGACAGUGAGGGACGAAAGCUGGGGGAGCAAACCG
rnacentral:rRNA from 1 species